rnacentral:lncRNA from 11 species
UGGAUUUUGAACAACAUGGCUUGUUGUGGAAACAGCAAUUGUUAAGUGACCAAAUGAAUUCAUUACAGCUACCUACUCGGCUAGGCUCUGGGUUGUGAAGAGAAAGUGUCUUUUUCCAGAUUCAUAGAAACCCAGGUAUUCAGAAGUGGUGUUUGCCAAUUUCGGAGUGGAGUCUUUAGAGAUCCUGGAUGUUUCAAAGCCACAAAAAGGGUGGUUGGGAUGUCAUGCAUGGCACUUUCCACACCUCUGCUGCAUGGGAAUGUCCCUGGUACCAGCUGGUCUGAGGCAAGGCAUUUGGAAACAAUAAGAACAACUGCAGAGUUUCCCC